GACGAACGCUGGCGGCGUGCCUAAUACAUGCAAGUAGAACGCACAGUUUAUACCGUAGCUUGCUACACCAUAAACUGUGAGUUGCGAACGGGUUAGUAACGCGUAGGUAACCUGCCUGGUAUCGGGGGAUAACUAUUGUACACGAUAUCUAAUACCGCAUAAUAUUGAUUAUUGCAUGAUACUUGAUUGUAAGAUGCUAUUGCAUCACUACCAGAUGGACCUGCGUUGUAUUAGCUAGUAGGUGAGGUAACGGCUCCCCUAGGCGACGAUACAUAGACGACCGCAGAGGGUGGUAGGCGGCACGGGGGCUGGGACACGGACAAGACGACUGAGGGAGGGAGCAGUAGGGAAUCGUCGGCAAUGGACGAAAGUCUGACCGAGUAACGCCGAGUGAGAGGAGAAGGUUCUCCGAGCGGGAUGAUCGGUUGCAGGAGAAGAACGGGGGUGAGAGUGGAAGGUUCACACUGUGACGGUAUCUUAACAGAAAGGAACGGCUAACUACGUG
rnacentral:rRNA from 1 species